GACAACCUUCUGUGGUAAGGGGUGAACAUCCUUGGGAAGCCACAGAGAGCAAGGCGCAGUUUUUCAUUGAUCACCACUUUCAAGAUGCUCCCAGAAUCGUGCUGUCUAGGAAGCCAUUUAAACUGGUGAGAAGCCAUCCUCUCUUGAAUGGGGGCUCCCACUGUACAUCUGGCACCCACUUCACAGAUUCUGGGGGAUGUCAACACCAGCACUGCUGAGCUGUGUGACCUUGAGCAAGACAGUUAGCCUCUCUGAACCUCAGUGUCCUUCUCUGUAGGCUGGAGAUUGAUAUACCUUCAUUAUCGGGGUAUGAGAGUGUUAUAAGGUGGGAUGGUGGAACACGCUGACUGGUCUGGGCUAUUCAAGAUCCAUGAACUGGAAGAUGCUUUCUUAUAACUCAGAGAAAAGAGAUGAAAAUGAAUCAAAGAACAGGAAGGAGACAAGCUCAGGAGAGUCACCCUAAGAAGGAUGUGUGGAAGACUUGACUGGAGGAUCAAAAUGUGUCGGGGGAAGGUGUACAAGGAGGAGUAAGGACACAGAUGUCCUGACUUCACACAGUGGGGGAUUAGAAGCCACCAUCAAACACAGAUGAAACAGGAAUAAAAGUAGUAGUACAUUACUUAAGCUUUAAAAGGGUAAGACUCCUGGGAAUUUGGAAGCUGAGACUUGAGGCAAGUAUUUAGGAUUUGCUGUCUCACCUCCCUGCUAUGACAGUCCUUAAUUAAUGGAGAUGAUGGAGAACAGCUUGCUGGGCUGAGUGGCAGGAGCCAUGCAGCUGCUGGGGCUGGAGUGGGUCAGGAAGCUUCAUCAAUCUGGGACACAUGACGUGCUUGGUGGUGGCGGAGCCUGACGCAUCCCUCUUCAUCGACAUUGUGUCAAUAGGAGCAGAGGCAUUUAGCUGUGUAAACACAGAGCUUCAGUGGCAGCACCCUAAAUGCUUAGCUGAUAGAUCCGGAAUUAAAUACAGACCUAGAAACUGGAGUUGGAAAACUUCCUGGCAGCACUCCUUCCCUGCCAUCCCGGUGAUCCCCUUCUGGAUGGAGGGUGUGGAGCUCAGCACAUUCACGUCUGCAGUUCUCAGAGAACCAAGUGUUAAGGAAUGUCAGGGAAGGAAGAAGGCAGCCAGCCAGGAAGGGGAGGUCCUGGCCUGAGCACGCCAGGCACAGAGGGAUAGAGGGUAGGGAGGAAACUGCACCUGUCUCCAACCCUCGACCCCAGCCCCGAAACACGACAUUGGCUGAAACAGAUUAAAAGCAUAAAAUGGCCCAAAGAAAUGGGAGAAGGUUGGCCUCUGGUCGGGCAAACAUGAGGGCAUGAAGAUAUAUAAUGUCCCACACGGGAGGAAACCCUUGCCGGGCCCCUCAGGAUUUAUAACAAGCUCACCUGAAGGAGAAACUUCAGGGGCACUUACACCAUCAGAUACCUAGAAAGGAGCUGUCAUUUCCUCACUGAAGAGUUUGCAAGCAGAUGGUAAAAGGGGUUUAAUUUGAAAACACUGAAACAUCGUGUUCGCUCAAAACCAUGACAAUUGCAGUUUUAUUGUCUCCACUCAGGAAAAUGUGUGUCUGGAUCAUCUUGUGGCCCGAAUGGGGAGAAAAGCAGCACAAGAAUGGAAUAGUACAGUGGCUACGAACACAGAAACCACACUCCAGGCCCAGUCCCCGGCAGUGGCCUCCAGGACCCACUCUGAGCUAGAUCACAUCAGUGAUGGGCUGGCCAAUCUUUAAGGAGAAUGACUCUACUCUUAGGAAGCCAGCAGGUUGGAGGAGGAAACACAUUCAAAUCCCGAGCACAAGGAGCUGGGAGAAGACCGGUUAUGGGAGCGGCAUUCCUGGAAGCUCUGAAGUCACAGCCCCACUGAUGAAAGGCUGGGUGUAUUUAUUUUCUUUUGCUCUCAAAAUUAUUUUGGAAUUAUGACUUACCAUUAAUACUUGAAAAGUGAUCAAAUAGAGGAAAGCAUUCUAAAGGUGGAGAAAGAGAUGUGCAGCUAACAGGAGACAUUUAUGCGUUAUUUCACCAGCCCACAAGUUCAAGUUCUAGGAGUUGAAAUGGCAAAGGCCUGAGGACUUUCAGCAUUUUGUCAACACUGACCAAGCGAACAGGGUGCUGUUCACAAUCCAAGUUCGCAAUCCAAGUGCAUGCUGUCUUUGGAUUAAAUGGUUUAUGCAGAUUGGUCUUGGUUCUUCUGUACGUUCUGUAUUGGGGAGGGAUGAUGAGUGGAUGGACAUCUUGCAGAUAAGACCCCUUGCCCAGUAUACUGUGGGGUUCACUGUAGUUGUGGAGGAAGACCUUUCAGUUUGGGGGCAGAGCACAAUUUUUGUGUCCCUUUACUCAAAAUGCUAACUCAGUCUGAUCUCUGGUAGGUGUCCUGAAUUGUCUUUAAAAAGUGAUCGAGAUUAUAUUUUCAAUUUUGAAUAUACUGCUGAACCCCUGACAUGCAGAGCAAUCUAUCUGGACUGAAAACUUGGCCAGGGAUGGUCUAUGCCAAGCAGUGAAGGCUGUGAAGAGAUGCUUGGGAAGGGUACAAGAAGGAAGGAAAGGAGCCCCCUGGGACAAUGAAGGAAGAUGCUGUGGUUGGCCCCGGGGCUCAGAAAACAGGCAGGUGAAGGAGUGGAAAAUGAUCACUUUGAUCCAAGGAACCACCUGCCCCACUACAAGUGAACACCAGCUGACCCAGUGCUGACCGUGUUUAUCUUCUGCCUCAGUUUUCCUCAAAUGUACAUGCAAAAGAUAUUAGAUGGCUUCCACAAAGGCUCUAUGCAUAUGAGAAUCCCUGUUCACAAACACAAAGCCCUGUUGACAAGAAGACAAUGAGCCUCGAGGAAAGAUGAAAGAAAGAAAAUUAAGGAAAAGAGGAAAACAAGCAAAAAACUCAGCAAAGAUGUCAUUGCAUAAUAGUCCAUUAUGCCUCCAAUUGAGCCGUCAUGAACUAUCAAAGAAAUAAUUGCGCAAUAAGCCCAUAAUGGCUUAAUCGUGUCAACAUCUUUGCAUUUACAUAUUUUUUUAAUCAAUGGAAAUUAAGUACAAAAA
rnacentral:lncRNA from 1 species